CCAUUGUAUGCAACAAACUGCUACACAUUUUAGUUUUGGAUUGCAUUAUUUGUUCUUCUUCUGCUUCUAAUAAGAACGAGCAUAUACUCAUCUUGCUACAUUGACACGAUGAUUUAUUUAUUUGUAGGAAUCUGUUUUCUCAUGUUCCAUACUUCUAUUUAUUUUCAGUAACAAUGAACAUGCCACUGUUGUGCCAAACGAAAACCCAAACCAGCCGCAGAUGCCGGCGAGGAGCAUGCUGAGGGAAGGGACACACUGACUGAAUCAUGUGAACAUCAAAUAUAGUUGCAUUUUCUUGAUGUCAUUUAUGACUACCGGCUCCCAUACUGAGCAUGAAUUGAUGAUAUAGAAGCAAAGGCAUCUAGAUGAGCUGAAAUUGGUAGUGGUCAAACCAUGGGAAGGGAGCAAACAGCAAGGCCAGAAACAUGUACGUCUGCCCACACUGAACUAUACUUCCCUUGAGUGUUCUCUUCUUAUACCUGCAUAUUCCUUGCAAGGAUCGACAAAUAUCAUGCAUCAUCUCUUGGGAGAAGACCAAGAAAGCCACGGUCGAGGGAAAGAAGAGGGCCACAGGGAUAAUCUGGCUUAUUUAAGUAAGGUAGUGAAACAGCAGUCCUGGAGGUAUGCUGCUCUUUUACAUCCUAUUGUUCUUGAACCAACAGUUACGCAAGUACAACAAAAUUGGUCAGAAGCUCUUUGUUGUGAUCUAAUAAUAUAACCUAAAAUGUGUAAUAUUAUAUCUAUUAAAUCAUGCUUUUUAUAAACACGGUUGAUAUGGUAUCUAAUAUCUGAGGUAAGCACUUCUUUUUCCUAUAGAUUCUACCAUAUUUAUUGGCUCGGAACAUUACCAUGCUUUGCAGUUGUAUUUGCAAAUUGUAGACAUCAAGAAUUUACCAUCUUUAAUUCUUGAGAAAAGCGUGUAUGUAUGGUUCACCAGGAGUCAAGCAAUAUGUUUAUCAGCGAUGGUGCCAGAUUAGAUAUUUUUAGUGAAAACAUGAGUAUUGGAUCUGGUUUUCAGUGUGAACCUACUGAAGAACUCAGUCUGACACUAAUGGUUGAUCAUUAGUUCACCUUCCAAAGUGAUAAUUUUCUUUGAAUGUAAUUUAAUAUUGUCCACCAGUAGUGUUCUUAUUUUUUACAGAUUUGUUGAGAUGGACGAGGUCGUGGAGCCAAUGAGAGGCGUUGCGGACUCACCAUGUGCUUGCUGCUGGAGAAGGCACAUGAGGUCGAGAUUCCAGAAGUAAUUGAUGUUGCAGCCAUGGGUAUUGCGUUGAUCAAUAGCAGGGCAUCUUACCGCAUCCAGAUAACAGCCUCCAACCAUAGUAAGGACAUUGUCUCGAUGGGAGAAGGUGCAGGCGACCUAGCCUUCUCUUACCCAUAUCUGUGAGGGAAGCAGCCUUCAGUGACAACGGCUAAAUCUUGCAAGUUUUUUCUGCCUCCACUAGGAAUCUUCUAUCUUUUUGUGCUCUAAUAAUGGAGUCGGUACAUGUGCAAAUUGAAAUUUCCAUCAUAGAUGCUGCCAGCCAUUGAUUUUCUAUUUGGCAUUUAGGUUGACCCAAAACUAAAGUAGACUAUGCAUAUAAUUUGGCCAUCAGUGCUAUGUAUGCUUUUCCUUCACGAAUUUCGGACAGAUAGAACAGGGCCAACAACAUGUUUGGGAGAAUUUAAGGAGACGAGGAUGGAGCAGACAGAGAUGUGAAGCCAGAUGUGUGUCAUGUGACUCUGACAUCCCACAUCUCAGCAACAAUUUAUUUUCUGCUUGAUCGGUGUGUGAUUGAUCCUAGGACGACCUGUAGAAUGCACGGCGCCUUGUGAAUAUUUUUUGUAUGAAUCAUGUCACAAGGGUGUUGGCUACCACGUUAGGUGCUUCGUUACGGGGGCCUUUAUCAAUUGCAGCACAGAGCUUCUAAGCCUUAUUCACCAUCUUUUUUGAGUUGGAUUGAGGUUUGUCUCUGACCAUCCACUUCUCCGAGCUUUCCUUUUGUUAGUGUGUUAAAUUUUUGUGAGUAGAAAUUAAGAGGACCAGACGCAUGCUAUCUUAUUUUGUGGUGAAGUCUACUGCCUUUGGUCACGUUGUUUCUUUGUAAGGAUUGAUGUGUUAUGACACAUACACAUGCAAACUAUAUUGUUUAUUUAUACUCCUCUUUUGACACAGAAUGCUUAAUUACCUCGCUCAUAGUGCAUACUCGUGCAGGAGGUGCUGAUCAACAGCACAUGAAACCGGCAGCAUGGCAGAUGCCGCAGAUGGAAGGUUCUUCUGGUUUAUCAGCUUGGUAAGAAACUCAUGAAUCCUAGAUUUCCUCUACAUAGGCUUUGAAAUCCCUUGACCACAAUUGCAUUCCACCGUGACUCGUAUGCAUAGAAUUAGGGAAACUGUGUGCAAGAAGCUAUGCUAAAAUCUGCAGUAUUAGGUUUCGUAUGUCUUUGGAUUAAUUUUCUUUAACAACCACUAUCAUCUUUGGUUCCUUAUAUAACCAAUCAACAAUUGAAACAAAUGUUUUUUUUCCAUUAUAGCCGUGUUAGCUUUGUAAACUACCUUAUUCUUGCAUUAUUUCAACAAUAUAUUAUCAUCCCCUUUGAUCAUUUUUAUAUUGAUGCUUGAGUGAUAGGAAUCAUGAUCUAUUGCAUGUUAGUCCUUUAACACAGUGUGUUGCAGCCUGG